rnacentral:rRNA from 1 species
GACGAACGCUGCCGGCGUGCCUACUACAUGCAAGUAGACCGCCGAUGCGAACGGGUGAGUAACGCGUAGGUCACUGCCUCAUAGAGGGGGAUAACUAUUGGAAACGAUAGCUACUACCGCAUACUGUAAGAUGGACCUGCGUUGUAUUAGUUAGUUGGUGAGGUAAAUGCUAACCAGGGCGACGGUACGUAGCCGACCGGAGAGGGUGAUCGGCAAGUCUGGGAUGGAGACACGGCCCAGACUCUUACGGGAGGCAGCAGUAGGGAAUCUUCGGCAAUGGACGGAAGUCUGACCGAGCAACGCUGCGUGAGUGAUGAAGGUUUUCGGAUCGUAAGGCUCUGUGGGUAGAGAGGCGGGAACAAACCAGAAAGGGACGGCUAACUCCGUGUCAGCAGCCGCGGUAAUAC